UUCUUCUUCUUUUCUCCUCUCUCUCUCUCUCUCUCUCUCUCUCUCCGUCUGUGUUUGCCUUUUUUCAUCUCUCUAUCUCUUUUGUUUCGAUUCCGAUCUGAUCAUUUGCGAGUGAUCAGUAUUGGCAGUCGCAAGGACGUAGUGGAUCUGCUGUAAGAGUUAUACUCUGUACAAUAGUUAUGAACUACAGUUUGUGUUUUGAUGGUCGUGAUUCAUGUUAAACGAUCUUGGUGAUUGGAUCUUUUAAAUUGGAUUUUUGUGGUUUUGAAUUUGUGGGUUUUUUAGGGAUUUCUGGAUUUUUUUAACUUUUCAGUGUUGGGGAUUUUUGUCCCUUUCGAACUAGCCCUCCCUCGCUCUUAAUUUCCUCCCCUUCACCAAUCAUCUGAAACCAAUGAUACUCAGAGCUCCCCAUCACCGAACUACAUUCGAAAACCUUCUGGAGCAACUUCUCCUCACCAAGCAGCCACUGUGCUCCAGAUCUUUCCAAUUGAAAUUCCUCUUCUUCACCCUUUCAUGUUGAAUUUCACAUCAACAUUGGAUUCGAGUUUUCCGACGAUUCUGUCAACACCCACCAUGAAGGAUGAAGCCUUGGAUGCUUUAGCAAUUGAGGACAAGAAAAGGCAAUAUGCUGCUGCGGAGAACUAUCUAGAAGAUGUAUUGCAUUCAGCUCUAGCCACUUCAGAGACUUAGCAUCCGUGAAGCACAUGCCUUCUCGACAACCGAUGGCUACUCUUUAGAUGUAUUUGUGGUGGAUGGAUGGAUGGUCUAUUGAGGGUGAGAAAGGGAUCACCGAUUUGAAAUCAGCACUUCAAGUAAACAUAAGAAAGAGAUUUUUUUUUGCACAAAGUUGAAAAGGAUUUAGCAGCUGUGACAGACUAAUUUUUGGAAACGUAGACGAGCAUAUUCACCUAGGGUGAAUGGACUCUCCUGCUUUUGCUUUUUCUUUUGCUUCUCUUUUCAUACCUGUGUGAUUUCAAAUCUCCCUAUGCCUAUAGUUGGGAUAUUAUGUCCAAUGAGCUUAUAAUUCGAAAGUUCCCAAUAUUUGGUCUCUGGAUAAUUGAAUCUGGAAGCAUUAUACAUGUUUGUAUUUGAAUAAAAUUGUAGCAAUUGUAAGUGAUAUAAUUCAUGUCCUUGGAAGA